AGAUUCUGUCGUCACCGGACAGCCCGCGCCAGCCCUGCAUGUGACUAUUGCUGCUGUGUGCACACCCACUCAGUGCUGCCCUUCAUCCCACUUCCCCUCCCCAGCACAGGAAGGCACCCCAGAGAGAGGCUGGAAUACACACCGUGUGAGCCAGUCUGCAGACUCUGCCAGAUGCCUACGGAGACAUCCUUGUGAAAUUUGAAUAGCUCUUCUCAGUUUAUUUAUGGAAUCUUUUGGAAGAUCAAAGAUAAAGCACCGCUGUUGGUUUUGGUUUCCACUAUUAUGACGGAGUCUGAAUGAAAGGUAGAACAACCCUAAGAUCAUAAUGCUGUUGAUUUAAUGUUGGAAGCUCCUCCGAGGAAGAGACCAUGCCAUGCAUUUAUUUGCAUUUUACACACAGGCUGUCAAAUGGGGCCAUCCUAGUGCCUGCAUGAUAGGGCAGCUGUCCUUGAAAUGAAGUAGUCACUCAAGUCCUUGUUGAAUGUGCACAAGAAUGAAUGAAUCAAUCAAUAAAUGAACCAAUGGUGCUCUAACAGGUGAGGUGGAACAGGAAGAUCAUGAGCUCUUGAGCCUAGGCCCCAUUUCGGCUAAAGGAUUUCUCAUCCCUGAAAGCAAUGCCCAUCCCUCAAAGCCUUGCCUUUCCCUUUGAGAAUGAUCACAUAUCUUGUUUCCUAUCUCAAUACCUCACUCAAAUUCCUUGGAAAUCCUGGCAUAGCAGAUAGUUAGUAGCCUGCGGUGUGAAUUGCCUCUGGAACUUUAGAAACUGUUGAUAUCUGGAGAAACUGAUUCAGCAGGUCUGGAGCAGGGCAGUGGGUCUGUGGGUUUCAUGAUGAACCUGCUGCCCAUCAAACAAAGAGAGCCGCGGUCCUAAGGUAGAGGACCAAAGAGUUCACUCUGUUGCAAUUUUCGAGUGCUUGAAAGUAGUUUUAUUUUUGUUUUUCUUUGUGAGACACUUUGCACUAAGACAGAAAGAUGAGUCUGUUUUUAAUAUCAUCCCUAUGAAGGGAGCACCUCCACCAUAAUUACCCUGAUGAGAUCUUUCAGAGAGCAUUUCCAACUCUAUCAUCUGGUUGGGGCUCAGCUAAAUCGUGACUGUGCCCCUGAAAUACACUGAUGCCUACUUACCCUGCAUCACACUGGUUUUACUGGAUAUUAAAGUGGACUUCUAGAAAGUUACAAAAGACCUGAAGAAUCCUAGUGAUUCCUCUCUGAUUCAAUGCAACAGUCACCCGCAUCCACUGAGCUCCUCCUGGAAGCCAGGCCUGGUGUUUUCACGUGGUAUUUUCUCAUUCAAGCUUCACAGCAAUCCAAUGGGGUGAGGUUGUCUUAUCCCCAUCUUAAAGAUGAAGGAAGCCAGGCUCUCCCAGGCUACAUAAUUUGGCCAGGGCUAAGGCUCAGGGCUCAGGGCCACCUGAGGCUCUAACUCCAAAGUCCUUAACCAUGGUGCCACCCUAUUUCCUAUUUGUAGCUCCAUUUGAAAAGUAUUAAUUCAAGCUUCCUUGAACUUUCCUUUGGAGUUUGUUGCCUUUUUUGUAGUUGUUAAAUCAAGAGGGUCAAAUAGCAAAACAAGAAGAAAA